AAAGCGUGCGCAGGUGGUUUUGUAAGACUGUCGUGAAAUCCCCGGGCUCAACCUGGGAAUGGCGAUGGUGACUGCAAGGCUAGAGUUUGGCAGAGGGGGGUAGAAUUCCACGUGUAGCAGUGAAAUGCGUAGAUAUGUGGAGGAACACCGAUGGCGAAGGCAGCCCCCUGGGUCAAAACUGACGCUCAUGCACGAAAGCGUGGGGAGCAAACAGGAUUAGAUACCCCAGU
rnacentral:rRNA from 1 species